GCAUGCCUACAACAUAGCGUCAAUGCAAUGGAUUCCAUUAGAACUCCGCAGUUAAGCACGCUCAAGCUAGAGUAGUAUUGGGAUGGGUGACCACCUGAAAAGUCCUAAUAUUUUACAUGCA
rnacentral:rRNA from 1 species